rnacentral:rRNA from 1 species
AGCGAACGCUGGCGGCAGGCCUAACACAUGCAAGUCGAACGGAUCCUUCGGGAUUAGUGGCGGACGGGUGAGUAACACGUGGGAACGUGCCCUUUGGUUCGGAACAACUCAGGGAAACUUGAGCUAAUACCGGAUGUGCCCUUCGGGGGAAAGAUUUAUCGCCAUUGGAGCGGCCCGCGUCUGAUUAGCUAGUUGGUGAGGUAAAGGCUCACCAAGGCGACGAUCAGUAGCUGGUCUGAGAGGAUGAUCAGCCACAUUGGGACUGAGACACGGCCCAAACUCCUACGGGAGGCAGCAGUGGGGAAUCUUGCGCAAUGGGCGAAAGCCUGACGCAGCCAUGCCGCGUGAAUGAUGAAGGUCUUAGGAUUGUAAAAUUCCUUCACCGGGGACGAUAAUGACGGUACCCGGAGAAGAAGCCCCGGUUAACUUCGUGCCAGCCGCCGCAGUAAUAC